AGGGGCGUCGCCAAGCGGUUAAGGCACCGGGUUUUGAUCCCGGCAUGCGCAGGUUCGAAUCCUGCCGCCCCUGCCA
rnacentral:tRNA from 2 species